rnacentral:rRNA from 1 species
AUAUACCGGAAACUGCGAAUGGCUCAUUAAAUCAGUUAUCGUUUAUUUGAUAGUACCUUACUACUUGGAUAACCGUGGUAAUUCUAGAGCUAAUACAUGCUAAAAACCUCGACUUCGGAAGGGGUGUAUUUAUUAGAUAAAAAACCAAUGCCCUUCGGGGCUCCUUGGUGAUUCAUAAUAACUUAACGAAUCGCAUGGCCUUGUGCCGGCGAUGGUUCAUUCAAAUUUCUGCCCUAUCAACUUUCGAUGGUAGGAUAGUGGCCUACCAUGGUUUCAACGGGUAACGGGGAAUUAGGGUUCUAUUCCGGAGAGGGAGCCUGAGAAACGGCUACCACAUCCAAGGAAGGCAGCAGGCGCGCAAAUUACCCAAUCCCGACACGGGGAGGUAGUGACAAUAAAUACUGAUACAGGGCUCUUUUGGGUCUUGUAAUUGGAAUGAGUACAAUUUAAAUCCCUUAACGAGGAACAAUUGGAGGGCAAGUCUGGUGCCAGCAGCCGCGGUAAUUCCAGCUCCAAUAGCGUAUAUUAAAGUUGUUGCAGUUAAAAAGCUCGUAGUUGAACCUUGGGCCUGGCUGGCCGGUCCGCCUCACCGCGUGCACUGGUCCGGCCGGGCCUUUCCUCCUGGGGAGCCGCAUGCCCUUCACUGGGUGUGUCGGGGAACCAGGACUUUUACUUUGAAAAAAUUAGAGUGUUCAAAGCAGGCCUAUGCUCGAAUACAUUAGCAUGGAAUAAUAGAAUAGGACGUGUGGUUCUAUUUUGUUGGUUUCUAGGACCGCCGUAAUGAUUAAUAGGGAUAGUCGGGGGCAUCAGUAUUCAAUUGUCAGAGGUGAAAUUCUUGGAUUUAUUGAAGACUAACUACUGCGAAAGCAUUUGCCAAGGAUGUUUUCAUUAAUCAGUGAACGAAAGUUAGGGGAUCGAAGACGAUCAGAACCGUCGUAGUCUUAACCAUAAACUAUGCCGACUAGGGAUCGGGCGAUGUUAUCUUUUUGACUCGCUCGGCACCUUACGAGAAAUCAA